rnacentral:rRNA from 1 species
GAUGAACGCUAGCUACAGGCUUAACACAUGCAAGUCGAGGGGCAGCAUGUGGUUGCUUGCAACCAAUGAUGGCGACCGGCGCACGGGUGAGUAACGCGUAUCCAACCUUCCCCUUAGUAGAGGAUAGCCCGGCGAAAGUCGGAUUAAUACUCUAUGUUGUAUUUUGAUGACAUCUGACGAAUACCAAAGAUUUAUCGCUAAGGGAUGGGGAUGCGUCUGAUUAGGUUGCAGGCGGGGUAACGGCCCACCUGGCCUACGAUCAGUAGGGGUUCUGAGAGGAAGGUCCCCCACACUGGUACUGAGACACGGACCAGACUCCUACGGGAGGCAGCAGUGAGGAAUAUUGGUCAAUGGGCGCGAGCCUGAACCAGCCAAGUAGCGUGCAGGACGACUGCCCUAUGGGUUGUAAACUGCUUUUAUCAGGGAAUAAAGUGGGGCACGCGUGCCUUUUUGUAUGUACCUGAUGAAUAAGGACCGGCUAAUUCCGUGCC